rnacentral:tRNA from 1 species
UUCGACUCCCUCUAUCCCCAACGAGGCAAUUUAGUUUAUUUCAGGUUGUUUGGAU